rnacentral:rRNA from 1 species
AGAGUUUGAUUAUGGCUCAGGACGAACGCUGGCGGCGUGCCUAACACAUGCAAGUCGUGCGGGAGCAGAGGUCAGAGUUUUCUGACCUCUGCUCCAGCGGCGGACGGGUGAGUAACGCGUGGAUAACCUACCCGUAAGACCGGGAUAACACCGGGAAACUGGUGCUAAUACCGGAUACGCUCCCUGGGGGGCAUCCUUCGGGGAGGAAAGGGGGCCUCUGGUGCAAGCUCCUGCUUACGGAUGGGUCCGCGUCCCAUUAGCUUGUUGGUGGGGUAACGGCCUACCAAGGCGACGAUGGGUAGCCGGCCUGAGAGGGUGGUCGGCCACACUGGGACUGAGACACGGCCCAGACUCCUACGGGAGGCAGCAGUGGGGAAUCUUCCGCAAUGGGCGCAAGCCUGACGGAGCGACGCCGCGUGGGGGACGAAGGCCUUCGGGUUGUAAACCCCUUUUCUGCGGGAAGAAAGCACAGGGGGCGAACAGUCCUUUGUGUUGACGGUACCGCAGGAAUAAGCCCCGGCUAACUACGUGCCACCAGCCGCGGUAAGACGUAGGGGGCGAGCGUUGCCCGGAAUCACUGGGCGUAAAGG